GGCAACAGCAUUGUCUUUGUGGGAGUUGUCGGGAUCAGUGCACGUUGGAUUUAUAAACGCCAAGGGAUCUAAGGACAAGGGUGCCAGCAACAUGAAGUCUCCUAUACAAAGCAUGGCGGACAAAGUGGUGUUCUGGAGGGGCGGGGGUAAUAUCAACGCUGGUUUCGAGGAAGAAGGAGAUGGGAAGGAGAAGGAGGCGCGAGUGGAGAUGACAGUGGAGGAAAACCCGGACAAUGGAGGGAGACAGCAGUGGUCAAGCCCAGUGGAAUUCCUCCUCUCCUGCAUUGCCAUGUCUGUCGGCCUUGGAAAUGUGUGGAGGUUCCCGUUCGUCGCACUGGACAACGGUGGCGGCGCUUUCCUCAUUCCCUACAUCCUCGUCUUGAUGUUCAUUGGCAAGCCGUUGUAUUAUAUGGAACUUUGUCUCGGCCAGUUCUCCUCCUCUGGCUCAGUCAAAGUGUGGGAUAUCUCGCCUGCUUUCAGAGGCGUGGGUUACGGCCAAGCCUUCGCGACGUGGGCAGUAGUGACCUAUUAUGUUUCCCUUAUGGGUCUUACGGUCUUCUACUUCUUCGCCUCCUUCAGUAGCGUGUUGCCGUGGUCUGAAUGCGGCCACUGGGCCUCAGAAGUGUGCAUUGACAAGACCAAGAAUGUCACCGAACUGGCAGAGGCAAUGGGGAAGAAUGUGUCAGAAUUUACAUCAGCCGCUGAAGAUUAUUUCUCACGAGAAGUGCUGCAAAUCGACAACACAGGCCUGCACAGUCUUGAACCCCCGGAGUGGCGCCUCUCCCUCUGCCUUCUCUUCUCUUGGAUCAUCCUCUUCGUCGUGUUGGCUAAGGGUGUUCAAAGUUCCGGCAAGGCUGCGUACUUCACCGCCCUGUUCCCUUACGUGGUGCUCUUCAUCAUGCUUAUCCGUGGCUGCACGCUGUCCGGCGCUGGCAAGGGUGUUCUUUACUUCAUACAGCCUCGCUGGGGAGAACUGCUCAAACCCAAGGUAUGGUACGCAGCCGUGGACCAGUCCUUCUUCAGUUUGUCUGUGGGUUUUGGCUCCAUCAUCAUGUUCUCCUCAUACAACAGUUUCCGCCACAACGUGUAUCGCGACGCCGCCAUUAUCUCGGUCACUGACACCCUCACCUCCCUAUUGGCCGGCUUCACCACCUUCGCCAUCCUGGGACACUUGGCAGAACAGCUGGACGUGGAUGUUUCUGAUGUAGUGAAGGGCGGCGGCACCUCCCUCGCUUUCGUCAGCUAUCCAGAUGUGCUAGCUCGCUUUGACUGGGUGCCACAACUGUUCGCCGUUCUGUUCUUCCUCAUGCUGUUCACUCUGGGGGUGGGCAGUGCCUCUGCUCUCACCGGCUGCAUCAUCACCAUCAUCUGUGACGCCUUCCCGCACUUCAAGAGGUGGAUUGUCACGCUGGUGGUCUGCGCUGCCGGAUUCCUCCUCGGCCUGUUCUAUGUCACGCCGCAGGGACAGUACAUUCUGGAACUCAUCAAUUACUACGGCGGUGGUUUCAUCAUCUUCAUCCUGGUGGUGUUUGAGGUGGCGGCCGUGCACUGGGUCUACGGAAUCAACAACUUCUGCAGAGACAUCGAGUUUAUGCUGGGCAGGAAGACUGGAUACUACUGGAAAUUCUGCUGGACUCUGCUCAUCCCUAUCCUUCUGUCCGUCAUCUUUAUCUACAGCCAGAUCCUUGCCGAGCCCCUCAAAGUUGGCAAGCACACCCUCAGCCCGGGAGUCAUUGGUUUCGGCAUCUUCCUGGCAGUGAUCGCGUGUAUGUUACUCCCUAUUUUCUUCGCGGUGGAGGUGGUGAGGCAGCGCAGCACCUCAGACUCUCUCCUAGAGGCGAUCAAGAACAGCUUCAAGCCAACCUCAGAGUGGUGUCCUAAAGACGCCACGCUGCGCAAGGAGUAUCACCAGUUUAUCCAGAAGCAAAGGGAAGAGGCACAGGGCAUUGACAACCCUCUCCCUCCUGCAGCCUCCACCGCUGACCUCUCCGGCCUGCCCACCAUUGCUUCUAAGGCUAACAUCACUGACUUCUUUUAAGAUUAUAAACGUAGAAAUUAAUAUAACACUGAAUUGCGAAAAGGAGGUGUGGUCUUAAGCCAAUAUCAGUGUUGUGUGUUGUGCAUCAAGAAAGCGGCUCCUAUUACACGGCUUAUCAAGGGGUGGUGGAGUUACUACGUAUUGGUGCAAGAGAGAGAGAGAGAGAGAGAGAGAGAGAGAGAGAGAGAGAGAGAGAGAGAGAGAGAGAGAGAGAGAGAGAGAGAGAGAGAGAGAGAGAGAGAGAGAGAGAGAGAGA
rnacentral:misc_RNA from 1 species